CACCUUCCUAGGGGUGGCACCAUACACAAUUGCACGGUCACCUUCCCAAGGGUGGCACCAUACACAAUUGCACGGCCACCUUCCCAGGGGUGGCACCAUACACAACUGCAGGGCCACCUUCCCAGGGGUGGCACCAUACACAACUGCAGGGCCACCUUCCCAGGGGUGGCACCAUACACAACUGCAGGGCCACCUUCCCAG